rnacentral:tRNA from 1 species
GGUCUUAUAUUCAUUUAUGAUAUUAAAUUGCAAAUUUAAAGGUGUAAUUUUAUUUACUAAGGCUU